rnacentral:rRNA from 1 species
AAUUGUUCCUCGUUAAGAGAUUUGAAUUGUACUCAUUCCAAUUAUAAGACCCUAAAGAGCCCUAUAUCGUUAUUUAUUGUCACUACCUCCCCGUGUCGGGAUUGGGUAAUUUGCGCGCCUGCUGCCUUCCAUGGAUGUGGUAGCCGUUUCUCAGGCUCCCUCUCCGGAAUCGAACCCUUAUUCCCCGUUACCCGUUGAAACCAUGGUAGGCCACUAUCCUACCAUCGAAAGUUGAUAGGGCAGAUAUUUGAAUGAAGCAUCGCCAGCACAAGGCCAUGCGAUUCGAGAAGUUAUUAUGAAUCACCAAAUGAGCGGCGAGCCGCGUUGGUUUUUUAUCUAAUAAAUACACCCCUUCCGGAAGUCGGGGCUUGAUUGCAUGUAUUAGCUCUAGAAUUACCACAGUUAUCCAUGUAGCAAGGUAACAUCAAAUAAACUAUAACUGAUUUAAUGAGCCAUUCGCAGUUUCACAGUACAAAGUUGUUUAUACUUAGACAUGCAUGGCUUAAUCUUUGAGACAAGCAUAUGCUA